CACUCAAGCGUCGCGCUGAGCAUGGUCCGGUGCUACUGUGUAGUAAACCAAGUAGAGCGAAGCGCAGCGCGAGAGUACCUGCUACUUUCCACUUGCUACUUUCCACUAUGCGCGGUGCGGUGAAGCAAACCCACCGCUCUUGACGCCCCUACUGUAUAUCUGGUGCGGUUAUCUCUCGCUGUGUGCACUUGGCUACAGUUGUAGUUUUUAAAGGUGUUUGAAUUCGACUCUCGUAUAGGCUGCCUAUUUUAAUUGAAUGUAUGGGAUUGCCCCAACGUUUAUUUUCAAAUCAUUUACGUUUAAUGCAAGUCGUAUAGCUUCUUCAUGGCGUCUCAACAGCAGUCAAGAAUUCAGUCGUAUCUGGAGAAAAAUAAAAUUGGACCGCUGUUUGAGGAGAUGAUGACCAGUCUGAUAAGCGAGACCCCAGAUCACCCUAUUCCUUUUCUCAUCAAUCACCUACAGACCAAGCAAGGCAGCCCCGGCAAGCUGCACAGGACACUGUCGGGCUCCGCCGCACUGUGGGCCGAGAGCUCUGCAGGAGAGAGUAAAGGACGCCGUGACUUCAGGAGUUAUGAGAAGCCCUGGCAGAUCCAUCCUAAGAAACCCAAGAAGUCUAAGAGUGAUCUAGCUGUGUCUAACAUCUCCCCUCCCUCACCAGAGUCCAAGUCCCUGCCGCGGUCCAUAGAGCACCCAUCGUGGGAGUGGAGGGAGAGCAAAGACUUUGAUGAGCUCAACCACAUCCUGCAGGAGAGCAAGAAGCUGGGCAAGGCUCUGGAGAACCUGUCACGCAGUAUCGCUGCUUCUGAUGAACUUGAUCAGAACCUUGGGGGGUAUAACUCAGUGCUGCGGCCCAGGGUUGUGGGGGAGUGGGUGGGCAGGGAGGAAGAGGAUCCAGACCCCCUGGCAGCAGAGAUGCUCCAGCCCCCAGUCCCAAGGAACAAGACUGAGGUGUGGGGGAGGGCCAAUAACAGCCCCGCCUUGAGUGUGAAGAUGGAGGGGAAGAGUAAAGGUUUGAAGCAGCAGCAGCAGCACCACAAGAAGCUCCUGGCGGCCAUGUUGUCCCAGGAUUCCUUUGACUCCGCCCAUAGCUCCGCCCCCUCACUCACCGAGGAGGAAAUAGAGGACGAGGAUGAUGCCAUGGAACUGUUGGAGGACCUAGAUGACCUGCGUAUGGAGGGGGUAACAGGGCUGGCCCCAUCAGGAAGUAAGUUCAGUCAGGGUCGUAGUUCCUACCUCCCAGAGCCCCAGGCCAAGGUCACACUCAACAUCUGCUCAAGGUGUGCAAGGCUGCAGGGGGACAGUCUGUCAGAUGCCAGUAGACCAGAAGAGGACCAGCACCAUGGACCCUCCCAGCAUGAAUCACCUCAACAUGGACCUCUCCAUGGAUCGUCUCAUCCCCUGCUCCCAGAGCAUGCUGCUGUCAACAUGCCUGAUGGAAAUGGGCCUCGUGGACCACCCCAUCACUUACAACCUGUGCCUGAUAUCUCCUGUUGUUUUCCCGGGGUGGACACAGCGCCGGUACGAGACCAGGAAUGCGAGAAUGUGUCUCAGGUCUCUUUCCCACGUCAGGCAGUCUGGGAGGCUGAUGUGAAGGUGGUUAAAGGAGUAGGAGGAGGGAGCUCGUCCAGGGAGCUGCUGGGACAGACGGGGGGACUGCUGCUAAGUGACUCCCUCUUCUCUAAAGAACUAGAAAACAUGGGCAAACACCUCGCUGAGGUGGAGAAGGACCUGGCCAAACUGGCGGAGCAGGGGAAACUAGCCCAGCGGAGCCCCAACAGCCCCCACAGUAGUCUGCUCCUCACCCCUCUGUUCCACACCUCCCUCCCGGGGGGAACCCUCCCCAACACUCUACCCUUACCAGGCCAGACCUCCAGACCCCCCUCCAGACCCCAGUCCCCCGUCCUCAGCGCCCGCUCAGCCAAGCCCAGCUCCAUAGGCUACCCCCUGGUCAGCCCCAAACUUAGCCCUCUGCUCACCCGGAAACCAACCUCCCUCACCAUGACAACUGGUCACAGAACUCAUUCUCCCAGCAACCCCGGCAGCAGAACUACAACUCCUAGAACCCCCAGCAGCAGGCCCAUGACCCCCAACAGCCUGCUGACCUCCAGGUCGGCCAUGACGGCCGUGACCCCAGGGGUUGGAGGUCACGGGGGUCAUAAGGAGGUGACGUUCAGGAGGUCGAGGAGCAGACCGGUGACCCCCACCAGUCAGCCGACCCGACCCAGGCCCCUGCUCACCCCUCCUGGGCUGAGUACGACAGAUAGUCUGGGCAAGGCCUCCAGCCUCAGGGCCUAUCUGUCAGAGGAUGAGUUCUACCAGCAGCUGCAGGCCAUCAGACAGCCAUGGCACAUUCCCAGUGACACAGAGAGUGACCUUCUGGAACCACCUGAGCAGGACAAGUGUGGGGUACGAGAUGCCAAUAAGAGAUCCGUGUUCUCAGAGACAAGAGGGGACUUCAUUUGAUGGAGCCUCCAUGUCUGUCUGUCCAUGACCUCACUCAGAGUCCCCGGCACCACUGCAGUGUAUGUUGCCCCGGCAACUACCAAUAGGCCUAUAGUGAUGAAGACCAGAGAGAGAGAGACAUUGAUCCAAUCAAAUAAUUAUGCAAACCACUGGGUAUUUUCAAUAUUGUGUACAGAGACCAUUAUUUUUUAUAAUUCACUCAGUUAGGAAUAUAAAAAAAUAUUGUAUACUUUUUCCACAGAGGUUGAUAUUUCUGAGACCAUGUAGCACCAAGAUGUGUGAACUAUUGUCAAAAAUAGGACAACUUUAGAGUAUGAAGUAUGAAAUAUAACUGAAUAUUUCUUUGUGCUUGCUAUUUUAGCAUGCUUACGUCUUUAAAGGAGUUGAAAGAAAAAAAUGCAUUUUGUUGUUAACACAUUUUUUUCUUGAAGCUAGAAGCAUACUUUGAAACAGUAGCAACAUGUACUGUACUGUACUGUACUGUACUGUACUGUACUGUACUGUACUGUACUGUACUGUACUGUACUGUACUGUAUAGAGCCAAUCUCUGGAUAGGCACUUAAGGGCUGGUUUUUAAAGUGGAAUGGCUUUCAAGGGAAUAAAAUAAUGGAGCAGAUAUUCACCUUGAAUUGAAGAUUAUUUCCCCCCACACUACAUUCUGUAGCCUGAUCCCAGAUCUGUUUUUAUUUUAAACCUAAAGCUCCAUUGUUUUAAAAAACAGUAGCUGGUAUGCAGGCUUUCGUACAGAUACUCACCUUAAUUUGAAAAGGAUAUCCUUCCUUCUUUUGCACCAAAUUUAGUUCAUUCUAAAUUCUGUUCAUUCUAAAUUCUGUUAAUAACUUGAAGAGUGUUUCUUCAUCACACCAUGGGUCUGUUCAGGAGACUGCGACAUAAGAACUUGCCCCUGGUAAGGGAAGUCUGGAAUCCCGAUUCCUCCUUCCAGGAUUUCUUGGGAAAACCUAGACAUUUUGGGAAAGGUAACAAUCCUGGUCUACACUGUUAUGUUGAUCUACGACUGUUCCUUUUGUAGCUAUGAGUUUUGUUAUACUUCUGUUGACAUGCAAAUACUUACAAAAUGGAUAAAAGAUUGUUUCUUUUUUAUGUACUGACUGAACCAUUGAAUAAAAACCUGGAAGUGA